GGGUGUAUAGCUUAGUGGUAGAGCGUGUGCCUAGCAAGCACAAGGUCUUGGGUUCAAUCCCCAGUACCUGCA
rnacentral:tRNA from 1 species